rnacentral:rRNA from 1 species
UACGUAGGGUGCAAGCGUUAAUCGGAAUUACUGGGCGUAAAGCGUGCGCAGGCGGCUUUGCAAGACAGAUGUGAAAUCCCCGGGCUUAACCUGGGAACUGCAUUUGUCGACUGCAUGGCUGGAGUGACGGCAGAGGGGGAUGGAAUUCCGCGUGAGCAGUGAAAUGCGUAGAGAUGUGGAGGAACACCGAUGGCGAAGGCAGCCUCCUGGGCUGAGAUUGACGCUGAGUGCACGAAAGCGUGGGGAGCAAACA